CGCUGUGUGAGGCUGCCCUCUGCCCUCAGCCCCGUGGUCGCUCAGCUCCGCCUGGGGUCUGAAAACUUUCAUUCCUCUCACGACCCCAACCCGAGCCUCACAAGGUGCUGAAAAUCCUCUCUGCGGUACCCUGAACCAUCACAGGCACCCGACGCAGAGAGCAACACGAAUUUCCUGCAAGCUCCCUCAGGAUCUUCCUCCUCACACAUUUCCCUGCCCCCGCUUGCUUUCUUCCUCUGCCUCUCUGCCUUUCUGACCCUGCGGGCAGAGCAGCCCAUCCCGUGUCUCCUGUUUGUGUUUGGAAGGAAAUGUUGGGCCGUGUUCUUGGGAAGAAAGGCACUUUUCAUUGCCUUGCGUUCAAGGCAGGUGACCUAUUCAGUUUGUCUUCUGACUCAGUACCUGUGAUCUAUGAUCUGAGCUGCACCCCGCCACUCACUGUGGCAGCUUUUAUCAUAACUCACAAUGUGGUGAGGUUUCCUCCAGUUAUCACUGCCCCCUGUGCCCCAAAUUCUCUAAAGAAACAGGGCUAGAAUGGGAUAAUACAGCUCUGCCAAAAAGGCACAGGUAGUGAUGGUGCAGAGGCCUGGAGGAGGCACCUCUGUGUGUGUCCUUGGCCAGAGGGGCAGGAAGAUUCUUUAGUCCUGAUCUUUCCUUCUCUGCCAUGAUGGGAGCAACAGCGCCAGAACUGUCCAUCACUGCACAAGCAUUUAUUCCUUGUCCUGCUGUGAAUUCUCCUUGCUCAGGAAUGGUCUCAAAGAGAAGAUCCAUUGAGAUGGGACCUUCCAUCCAGCCUCACUUCACACAGAGCCCAGCAGGCUGCGAGUGGAACUCACGGAACAGCGCGAGUUCCACCCUUUAUCUCCUGCCAGAUUUGAAUGAGGACCACAGCAAAGGUCACCAUGACAAUGGUAACUGUGAACUACUUAAGAACAGGAUGGAUUUAGCACCGAGCAUUGCCAAGACCACUUACAGAUGUAGCAGGAAUCCUAAAUGCCUGCUUGUCUUCCAUUGAAAAAAUCAAAGAGCAAAUCAUGAUCAGAGCAGCAACUCCCUGUGGGGUACCCUGGGCACUUAAUGCAAGUGCAGCACUGCAGCCACGAGCAGACAGUAAAUAUUGGUCUGUAUAAAUGUUAGGAAGACAUUUAAGAGAAAAAAACAUUGAAGUAGGAAAAGGAAACAAAAUGACUAAGCCAAAUUCCAGUGGAAAUUAUAUCACAACCCAAAAAACCUGGAGCCAGUGGCUUCCCAAAGGCACAGACAAUGGCACAUGCUGUCCCAACACAACUGCAAGUUGCAAAACAAAUUGCAGGUGUAACAACAGAAGGUACAUCUGUAGCACAAAUGAACAAACCCUUGUUCCCCAGCUCAGGGCUAACAGAGAAGAGUGUUCUGCUGGAAGAGCAGUGAUCCCUCCCGUGUGGUUAAUGGGCAGCAGAUGCGUCAGCGUGACGUCCAUGGGCUGAUGUCAGUGGGAAAUUCACCUUCCCCCGAGAGCUUCACUCCAAGGAUCUGCACACACUGAGGGAGCUGCUGCCAGCCCUGCUCCCCACCAGCCUCAGUCUGCUCCCCUCCACCUCCCUGCCCAGCAAAACCUACGUCAGGAAAAUUCAGUUUUCCACAAUGUGCUAUGAAAAACUGAAAGAAAGAUCUUUCAUUCAUUUACUGUGUCCCCAGGAGAAAACCCACCCUGCCUUUAUAAACUGCAUUCUCCAAGCUCAAGAAUAAAAUGACUGGCUUUACAUCA
rnacentral:lncRNA from 1 species